rnacentral:lncRNA from 1 species
UUGUUGUGAUCUUUGAUUAUUCUGAGUUCUAGGAUUAACCUCGGAUUGAUUUGGUAGUUUAUCUUUUUUUCUUUCACUCACAGUCGUGGCUAAUUGACCUAACUGCAUCUCUAAAUGGGCAAUAGCCUGGGUGUUGAAAGUUAAAAGUUAGCCUAUGGUCUGCAUGAAGUUAUUUAGUGUAGUGUUAGUGUUAGUAGUCGAUUUUACUAGGAUUUUUAGACUCUUUUCUAGCGAGUUAAGUCUUUAAUCAUUACUAAAACCUGAUGGGUUAUUUGAUGAUUGAGUAGAUCUGGGAUUGGGCUAAGUGAAGGUAGGUCUACUUGAGUUUGACUCUUGUGACCAAGAAAAAUUAGGAUGAUUCCUCCAUCCUAAAUUGUACAUUGGUGCGUAGGGGUUAUCUGUGGAUCUCUGAUAGGCUGCAUUCACAUGUGCUACUUCGUUCUCGAUUGGAUCCAUCAAAAAAAGGAUAUCCUUCCAUUGUGUGGUCUAUGGCAUUACACCCAUCACAAGUGGAUGUUGCAACUUGGUUCACUUGGGUGUGUCCUUUGAGUUCUAGGGCCUCUAUCCUAUAGAUCAAAGAUGCAAAUUUAGCCUUUUCAGCUAGG